rnacentral:rRNA from 1 species
GUAGGUGGCAAGCGUUGUCCGGGAAUUAUUGGGGCGUAAAGCGCGCGCAGGCGGUUCUUUAAGUCUGAUGUGAAAGCACACGGGCUCAACCGUGGAGGGUCAUUGGAAACUGGAGAACUUGAGUACAGAAGAGGAAAGCGGAAUUCCACGUGUAGCGGUGAAAUGCGUAGAGAUGUGGAGGAACACCAGUGGCGAAGGCGGCUUUCUGGUCUGUAACUGACGCUGAGGCGCGAAAGCGUGGGGAGCAAACAGGAUUAGAUACCCUGGUAGUCCACGCCGUAAACGAUGAGUGCUAAGUGUUAGGGGGUUUCCGCCCCUUAGUGCUGCAGCUAACGCAUUAAGCACUCCGCCUGGGGAGUACGGCCGCAAAGGCUG